GUUAGGAGCCGCUCUCCGCUCACCGUGGGGCCUCCGGAUCUGGAGCCGUGUUUCGCAUCGGAGCAUAUCGACCGAAUGGAAUUCUAGUGUUUUGCUGUCAUUUUGAUGUUUUCAUCCAGUCUUCAUCAGAUCUGCUGGGUACUUCCUGCGAGAUGGGAGCUGGAGCCCUCACCAUCUGUCAAAGUAAAGCAGCAGUUCGGCUGAAAGAAGACAUGAAAAAGAUUGCGGCAGUGCCACUAAACGAGCAGAGGAACGCCACCUAUACAAAGUUAUUUGGAGUCAGUCUCCAAGACCUCCACCAGCACGGGCUGACUGAGAACGGCGUUCCAGCUGUCGUGGGGAGCAUAGUGGAGUACUUGACCAUGCAUGGACUCACCCAGGAAGGCCUUUUUCGGGUGAAUGGCAACGUCAGGGUGGUGGAACAGCUUCGAUGGAAGUUUGAGAGUGGGGUGCCCGUGGAGCUGGGGAGGGACGGCGACGUCUGCGCGGCGGCCAGCCUGUUAAAGCUCUUCCUGAGGGAGCUGCCGGAGGGCGUGAUCACCUCGGCACUGCAGCCUCGGUUCAUUCAGCUCUUUCAGGAUGACAGAAAUGAUGCUCCGGAGAGUAGCUUAAGAGCCUUAAUAAAAGAGCUGCCAGACACCCACUACUGCCUCCUCAAGUACCUUUGCCAAUUCUUGACAAAAGUAGCCAAGCACCAUGUGCAGAACCGCAUGAAUGUUCACAAUCUCGCCACUGUAUUUGGGCCAAAUUGCUUUCAUGUGCCUCCUGGGAUUGAAGGCAUGAAAGAGCAAGACCUGUGCAACAAGAUAAUGGCUAAAAUAUUAGAAAAUUAUAAUACCCUGUUUGAAGUGGAGUAUGUAGAAAAUGAUAACCAGAGGUGUGAAAACCUGGCGAGGCUUAUCAUAGUAAAAGAGGCCAAUUGUAAGAACAUCCUUCUAACAAAAGACUUCGAAAGAGACACACAAAAGCCACCUCCAAAAACCAAGAUCCCAAAAUCUAGGAGCGAGGGAUCUCUUCAGGCCCACGGGGUACCGCAACCAGAGCCGUCUGAUGGCGUUCCUCAGGUCAACCUGCAGCUAAGUCAGAGAAAUUCCUGCUGGGAUGACAAUUCAGCAGAGGAUGCUACUGCUGCCAAACUGCUAUCCAGUUCGCAGGAAGAUGAAAGACCUAUGUCACCUUUCUAUUUGAGUGCCCACGUGUCCCAAGUCAGCAAUGUGUCAGCAACGGGAGAACUCUUAGAAAGAACCAUCCGGUCAGCUGUAGAACAACAUCUUUUGGAUGUUAAUAGCUCUGGAGGCCAGAGUUCGGAGGACUCAGAACCUGGAACAUCUUCAGCAUCUUUCUCCACAUCCACCAAACAGCGACGACGCCAGUCUCAGGAGCAGGAUGAAGUUCGACAUGGCGGCGACGUGGGACUUAUCAACAAAGAAAAUAUUCCUUCUGGGUUCACCAACCUUGAUGAAUGUAUUUUGAACGCUCAUCAUGAAGUGGAAAAGUCACAUGAAAAUACUUCUGGUUAUAUUGGAGAAAGGGGCAAACCGAAACGUCCGAAAUCCAGUUCCAAACUUUCUGAGCUCAGUGAACAUCAAGAUAGUCUUGUGAAUAUGGAAAGUCUCAGUCCCACACCAUCUCGUGAAAGGGUUGGACCCGAUGAUGUUGAACUGAUGUCCGAUGGAAGCAAAGAAAAUGAAAAGGACGGCAGACAGACCCAGCAUUUUGAGGACCCCACCAUGAAGAUCCAGGAGCAUCCCGGCCUGCCUGACGGCAAGCUGCAGAGGACCCCAAAUGCUGAUGAGCCGCGGGAGGGCUUUGUCUCCGGAGCGCCCGGGCUGGACCUGAGCGCAUUGUGUGAUGAGAAGAGCUGGAAAGAGCCCGCCCCUGCUUUCUCCUCGUGGCAGCAGGAGAGCGUGCCCGCUGACGAAGCACGCCUCUCCCCGCAGGCAGGGCGCCUGAUUCGGCAGCUCCUGGACGAGGACAGCGACCCCAUGCUCUCGCCCCGCUUCUACGCCUACGGCCAGAGCAGGCAGUACCUGGACGACACGGAAGUGCCUCCUUCUCCCCCCAAUUCCCAUCCUUUCAUGAGGCGACGCAGCUCCUCUCUGGGCUCCUAUGAGGACGAGCAAGAGGGCCUGACACCUGCCCAGCUCACGCGACGGAUUCAGAGCCUUAAGAAGAAGAUCCGAAAGUUUGAAGACAGAUUUGAAGAAGAGCGGAAGUACAAGCCUUCCCACAGCGACAAAGCAGCCAAUCCAGAGGUUCUGAAAUGGACAAAUGAUCUUGCCAAAUUCCGGAAACAACUUAAAGAGUCAAAACUGAAGAUAUCGGAAGAGGACCUAAGCCCCAGGAUGCGGCAGCGAAGCAAUACCCUCCCCAAGAGCUUUGGCUCCCAACUUGAGAAAGAAGAUGAGAAGAAACAAGAGGUGGUAGAUAAAGCCGUAAAGCCCAGCGUCGGAGCCACGCUGGGGUCCAUCCAAAGGAAGCUCCAGGAGAAGCGGGCGGAGACCAGCCGUCCUGAGGACAUUAAGGAUAUGACCAAAGACCAGAUUGCUAAUGAGAAAGUGGCCCUGCAGAAAGCUCUGUUAUAUUAUGAAAGCAUUCAUGGACGGCCGGUGAGCAAGAAUGAACGUCAGGUUAUGAAACCGCUGUACGACAGGUACCGCCUGGUCAAGCAGAUCCUGUCCCGAGCCAGCACCGUCCCCAUCACUGGUUCCCCUUCCAGCAAGCGGAGAAGCCCUUUGCUGCAGCCAAUUAUCGAGGGCGAAACUGCUUCCUUCUUCAAGGAGAUAAAGGAAGAAGAGGAGGGUUCAGAAGACGAUAGCAGCGCAAAGCCAGAGUUCACCGUCACCCUGGAAACCGACGAUUUCAGUGCACGUGGCUUUCUGGACCAAUUUGAAGAUGACACUGAUGGCUUUAUUUCCCCAGUGGAUGAUAAAAUACCUUCAAAAUGCAGCCAGGAUACCGGACUUUCAAAUCUCCAUGCUGCUUCAAUACCAGAACUCUUGGAACACCUUCAGGAAAUGAGAGAAGAAAAGAAAAGGAUUCGAAAGAAACUUCGUGAUUUUGAAGACAGUUUUUUCAGACAAAAUGGAAGUGGGUCCCGGUUCUGCCUGCCCAUCCCACGUUUCUGCUGUGUGAGGUCGAGCACAGGUGCCUGCCCACCAGCCGCUGGUUGCCAAGAGAAGGUGUUUCAGAAGGCUCUGCCUUUUGAAGAUAAUGUUGCGGGAUGAACAGGACAGCAAAGGGUACCAUUUUGUUUUCUUUAAUAAUAAUAACAAGGAGAAAACUCUUCCUGAUCAGUUGUCAGUUUCCAAAAUGGGUUCUUGAGAAACUGUCUGGUCAGAUUGGAUUUGUAGCAGCAUUUUCCAAUGUUGAAGUGAAGUAGCCGCUCUCUGUCGGUUGAAAAUCGUUUAAGUCGGGAGUAGGGGAAAAAGAAUACCUUUAAAUUGGCUUUUAAAAAUAAUCAUCCAAAAGCAUGAGCUAUGUGUUGAAAGUGCCCUGGUUGAAUCCACAUACUUAAAGACGGUACAUAAUCCUGCAAUAUAGAUACAGCUUGGUAUUCUUUGCUCUACUGUUUACAUUGCAGAUUGCUAUAAUUUCAAGGAGCUAUAUUAUAAACAAAAUGAUGCACUUUAGGACGUUUUCUAUUUUUGAAAUCUGAACAUGAAUCAUUCACAUGACCAAAAAUUGUAUUUUUUAAAAGAAAUACAUGUCUAGUUUGUCCUUUUUAAGUAAUUAUUCUCUUACAUAAGCUAUAAUAUAAAUCACAUCAUUACCAGUUAACUUUCAAAGCACAUCUAUCUGUCUAAGAGUAUUGUUUUGAAAAUACUACUAUGCUAUAGAACUUUAAAAGAGAAAAAGCUAUAUAAAUGAGAAGCUACUAAACGUUUUGAAAUCUAUUGUUUCUGCCAAAGGUAAAUUAAGUAAAAGAUUUAUUCAGGAAUCCCCAUUCAAAUUUGUAUGAUUGAAUAAAAGAAGACACCAAGUUAUAGUAAAAUGUGUAUGGAAUGUCAUGUUUUCCUUUGUAAUUUAUAAUAAUAUACUUCCUAGAAUGGUGCCCAAAUUAAGGGAGGGAAGCCCUGUUUACACGAGAUUCUAUCUGAAGACAGGUUAGUCCGUAGGUUCUGGCUCUGCCAGAAAUGCUGAGGUAAAUUUGUUUCCGUAGCAACCAUUUUUGCAGCCCAGAGUCUCAAGGCCCUAGAGGCAGUGUCUUAAUUGGCUUAACACAGAAUACUCUGGGCUGCGGUUUUUCCUUUGCUCUGUCGGGAACGUGUGUGUUUAUGAGCACGUGCCAACAAAAUAAAUGUCAAGGGUUAUUUAAUAACAAUGAUAAGUAAAAGUAAAGCAUGAGUAAGCUUGGCUGUGUGAUUGUAAGAAUCAGAGAUAGCAGAGGCUUGUAAUUUUCCCAAGCAUUUGCUUUUUAUUGUGUUUUAGUCUGGAGCAAACCUUGAAAUAGGUAUUUAUAUCAAGUAUGUUAUCAUUACUGCAUUUCAUCUUUGAAGCAUUGAGUUUGUAUUUUACUUUUUAGACAGGUAUGUGCAAGGUGUAGGAUAAGGGCCUGCGGAGAAGUUUUUCAGGACAGCCGAAGUUUGUCUUGGUGCUGGUAGAAGAAAGUCUGCACAAUCUCAGUGAUCUCCGAUUCAGGGAAAAGUCCCAUGAAAGACCACAUCACAUUUCAAACUGGAGAACUGCUUUUUUUUAAUUGCUAGCUAUAAUUUAUUGUGAGCUAAUAAGUAGAUUUCUUUGCUUUGGUUGCUAGUUUGAAGGCAAAAGAUUAUUACUCAUUGGCAAGGCAGGCAUCAGCAAUGCCUCUGUAUGUAACAUCAGUGUGAUUUUUGCUUUCUCUCAUCCCGACGCAACACUUGCACGGUGGCAGAAGAGCCUGUUAUAGGGUGCGCCUGCUCCUGGGUGUGGCAUUUCUCGCCCAGGACAAGUGCCUCAGGGCUGUGCUUUUGUCUUAAACGUGGCACUGAGAUGCACUGAGGCCAGCAAUCUUGGCGCCUCCUGAGGGCUGAGCUUAGAACUAAUGUGGUUGAGCUUAGAAUUCCUCAUAAGGUGACUAUUAAGUUUAUUAUCAGAAUCAAAGGGCAGCCAUGGUGCCAGUUAAGUUGGUUCUUUCUGGGACUGUCUAGUUCUCAGUAGACAGAAUUGAGCCCUGUAUCCAGAACUGAUCACAGAUUUAUAAGGAAAAUGAAAAUUUAAAGUUUGUUGAUGAAUUUUUUAAGAGACUCUUCAUCUGAUCAUGAAGAUGCCAUCUUUCUUAAGGGUAUAUACCUCACUACCUUUGAUGGUAUAUUUACAGCUGAACGCCAUAAUCUCUUUUAACUGCUUUGUGAAAAUCUGGUUGUAGUCUAAAUUGGUUUUGCUUUCGAGACAGGUCUUCCUGACCCACUGCAUCCUGGGGGGUUUUCUCCCCAGGUGGGGAGUGGUAGUUUCUGCACCAAGAUCAGCACGUCUGUGGUAUUCUUUCGUAGUAUCCAUUUGGUUAAACCAAUAGGGAGGGACAAAACUGGGCUAAAACGUUAAAGCAGUGUUUCCUCGGAAGGCCGUGGGUUUAGCAGAAGCCAGAGUGUGCUUUCUUUUUCUUUGAUUAAUUCCCUUCCGUUAUAUUUUUUUCCCCACGUGACCCUCAAAAUCUACUGAAGAGUACAUUUUGUCAAAAGAUAGGCUAAACAUGUUUUCAAGUCUGUAGGUACUGAACUUGUGCAUACUGGCACUUCUUCACGGGGCAGCUGACACAGCAAGCUCCAAAAGAUGGUGAUCUACGUGUCAGCAGCCACUUUCCAGAGUAGAGAUCGCGCCCUUGGGGCAUCCACACUCCUCCACCAUGAUCCUUCACAACAGAUGUCUGUGGGUAAGCUGAGGUCAAUUACAGGUACACACAGAUGGGUAUUAAAAUGAAGUCUAUACAUCUACAACUUCAUAUUGCUAUGAAGGUGCAGGUAUGUCUCUAGAGGAUCGCAUUUUGUCUGGAAUCCAGCCAGCCGUGGCCAUGUGCGCAGCUUGAGAAAUCGAUUCGGCAGAUCUAACCCUCAAUCUGAAAGCACCUGUACAAUCAGGAAAAUCUCCGAGAGUGGAUGCAAUUUUAGUAAAUAACAUGGGCCCGGGACAAUGUUUACAUGCCAUGUAAGCAGAAAGCAUUUGAAAUUACAGUUGUUCCUUUUUUAAAAUGUAAACUGAAUGAAAAUAUGUACAUUUUUGUACGUGACUGUAUUUUGUAUGAACAUAAAUAAAAUAUUUUUAAUUGUGAAUGUUCUGAAUUUUUUGACAGCGUCAGGAACGUGUGACUGAACGCUCUGUGGGGUCUGACCUUUCCCUAUGUAAGGAAUCAAGCUGCUCCCCUGAGCUCCUCAGAAGCCUCCUGAGGAUUAAGAUUUGUUAUUCUGUCUCCAGGGAGGGCCCUGGAAGGUGAAGCAACCUGGGUACAAGCUAGGCAUGCCCGUGAUGGCCGGUAGGAAAACAGGCUUGUGCUCUCUGCUCAGCUGCCUUUGAAGCAAUUCAUGGAAGGGGCUGGAGGGGUGCAGAAAGAAAGGCAUUGAGAAAAACAACUGUUUAAGUACAUUUCCAAAGUCUCGGAGGCCAUCACAGGCACAUAUGUGAACCACUCGCUGCUCUGAAGCUAACGAGGCCACCAGAAAACUGUGACACAGAAGAAAAGGCACAUUGCAGUCAUGUGAGGCUUGGAGCAAGGACCUUGUCCCAGUACUGACACCAGGAUUUGAACUACGGUCUGUCUGACUUCGGAGCGUGAAGACGCAGCACUGCUGACGGCACAGUGGCCUGGUGUGCUGUCAGAACUGAAGCUCGGGCUUCCCUGGUGGCGCAAUGGCUGAGAAUCCGCCUGCCAGCGCAGGGGACACGGGUUCGAGCCCCGGUCCGGGAAGAUCCCACGUGCCGCGGAGCAACUAAGCCCGUGCGCCACAACUACUGAGCCUGCGAUCUGGAGCCGCGAGCCACAACCACUGAGCUCACGUGCUGCGGCUACCGAGGCCCACGCGCCUAGAGCCCGUGCUCCGCAACGGGAGGCGCCACUGCAGUGAGAAGCCCACGCGCCACAGGAAAGAGUAACCUCCGCUCGCAGUAACUGGAGAAAAGCCCACGUGCAGCAACGAGGACCCAACACAGCCAAAAAUAAAAUAAAUGGAAUAAAUAUAAAUUUUUUAAAGAAACACUGAAGCUCGCGUGAGUAACUUACGUUUUGAAACACUGGGUCCAAAGAAAUAAAACUGAGGCAGGAGUGGCAAGCAGUGAAUAGCGACCCUUCAUUUUCUUAAGUCCUAUUUUGCUGUGGCCCCUCUGAGGGACUAGAAAGUGAUGCUGGCCCAAGUACGCCAGCUUCUACAGCCUGUUUAAAAGCCUCCAGACGGCCUCCCCCGACUCCCCUGGAAAUGUUUUUCCCCCUACUCUAUCAGUUUGCAGCACGAUGGAUGAACUGAAUGGGAAUUUCAGAACAGGGACCGACUGGGGGAGGUUGGGAGAGGAGGACAGUCCUCGUCACUCCUUUCAAUGGCCUCAUUAUUACCCCCUCUAGAAAUGGAUUCUGAAUCUUGUGAGACAAAAUGUAUCAGGGUUAUCCCUAAGCUGGGUCAGCUUAUCAAGGCUAUAAAUACACAGUUGAAUUUCAUAUUCAGUAAAAGCUGAAAGUAGAAAUUCCCAAAUGCAUUUUCAGAAUGCUGGCUGGCAGGCCGACAAGUGGGCUUUGGCAGGAACUGGGCUUGUUGGCAGCUUGCUUCUCACUGCUCCUCUCCAUCAACAAGGCUUGUACCACAGGGCGGAUCCGAGUUGUGCGGCAUCUUCCGGGGAACGCGGCCCGGUGCAAAACGCAGCAAGAACCAAAUCCGAGACCUCUGGACUUCCAUGUCUCAGCUGAGCCUUUGUGUCUAUAAAUUAUAUGUUACUGUGAAUUCUGAAACUCAUAUCUUCCACACGUUUGAAUCUUCCUUUAAUUUCUCAAAAGCAAUUCAAAGAUACUGAGAAAUCCUUGUCAUGCUUCUGGUUCUACAGCGUUGAGUACUUCUUGGUAAGAUAUU